GUGCGUGAGAGUGCGUGUGCGUGCGCGACCCCGCCGCCGCCACCGCCGGUGCUGCUCCCGCGCCCUCUACCUCUGCUGCUGUCCCCACCGCGCGGGGUCCCCGAGGCGCAUCCCCGGCUGAGGAGCGUCCCGGCUGGCUGCCCAGCCGCGCCGCGGAACGGAGGACCGGAGCCGGCGGACGGGCGGGGGGACGGACGGGAGCGAGGACAGGUUAGCCGACCAUGGCCGACCAGAGACAGCGCUCACUCUCUACCUCUGGGGAAUCGCUGUACCACGUUCUUGGGCUGGACAAGAAUGCAACCUCGGAUGACAUUAAAAAGUCCUACCGGAAACUUGCCUUGAAAUAUCACCCUGACAAGAAUCCCGAUAACCCAGAGGCUGCAGACAAGUUCAAGGAGAUCAACAACGCGCACGCCAUCUUGACAGACGCCACCAAAAGGAACAUCUACGACAAGUACGGCUCUCUGGGGCUCUACGUGGCUGAGCAGUUCGGGGAAGAGAACGUGAACACCUACUUUGUGCUGUCCAGUUGGUGGGCCAAGGCCCUGUUCGUCGUCUGCGGGCUCCUCACGUGCUGCUACUGCUGCUGCUGCCUGUGCUGCUGCUUCAACUGCUGCUGUGGGCGGUGCAAGCCCCGGGCGCCCGAGGGCGAGGAGGCCGCCUUCUACGUGUCCCCCGAGGACCUGGAGGCGCAGCUGCAGUCGGACGAGCGCGGCGGGCCCUGACCCCGUGCGGGCAGGCGGCGGCGGGCUUGAGGCGGGAGCGCGGACGCCGAGAGGCCGCGGACACGCCGAUCGUGGUGCAGCCGGCGUCUGCCACGGAGACCACGCAGCUCACGGCCGAUGCGCACCCCAGCUACCACACCGACGGCGGCAACUGAGCCCAGGGGGGGCCGUGAGUAGAGGCUCCGUCAGCGCCGGCCACCUCAGCCUCAGCGCCAUGAACUGUGGUCACGGGGCUGCGGGGAGGCCGCUCCGGCUGGAGGAAGGGCGGCGUCCACCCACCGGGCCGCGCGGCCCCUCCCACCUCCGUGCCCACCAUCCGUCCAUCCCGACACAUGAAGUACGUAGCAUGCAGUAUUUAAAGCAGUUUAGCUACGGUCUUCCUCUGUUUUUCUUUUCUAAUAGCAUGUUUGGGGUUACGUUCCAUGUCCGUCUGUGUUGUGGACGUGCUGCGGUGUGACAGUCACCCAGAUGUGGGGCCGCCUCCGGCUUUCCGCCAGGUUGGUGCCGUGAAUGGAGCCCAGCUGCAUGGUCCCCUCCCAGCCAGGCGUGGGCAGGAGGAGUGGCGCCUUCCUGUGCUGUGGGGCCAGAGGCGGUGCUGCCUGGCAGGAGCUAGGGUCCCGCCUGCUCCGGUGCUCGUCCGCCAGAAAGGAGCUGGCAUGCCCCCCCCCAGUGCCGUCAGCAUUCCCAUGGUGUUCACGUCAAGGACAGUGCGCGACACCUGCUCGCCCUGUGUGCUGGGCCUUGUGGCAGAGUUCUCCUUUGGAUCAGCUUGUGAAAAGUACAGGCGGCUGUCCUGACUCUGAGACCACUAUUCUCUGCCUGGGCUUCGCCGAGGUCGCCUCACCACUUGGUCCUCUGAGUAUGUGCCCUCACCAGGCUGUGGGAGGGGUUCUUCCAUGUCCCUGUGCUUUCCCCAGGCCACCAGCUGGGUGCUGGGGUUACUUUCUGUCGGUCUUCUCCUGUUGCGUGACCCUCCACAUUCCUCAGGCCCGCUGUGGCCUCUCUAAUCCUUUUUGGACCUCUAAGAACUACAGGCAGUAACAGUGCCCCAAGUAGUCUAGUCAGAGGGGCUGAGGGUUCAGGCACUGCUGGCCUGUGGCUGCGUGGCCCAGGAAGCAUGUGGGAGGAGAUCGGUCCAUUCUCUGCUUCCUAAGCCCCUCCAGCCCACCCCCUGCUUCCUUCGCCUGCCCCCUUCGGCCAUUGUGGGUCAGGCAGAGCUAGAGGCAUCAGGUUCCUGGAGAGGGACCAGCCUGGCCAAAAGCUCCCUUGUGGCCUAGGAGGCCUGGUGCCCUUGGCUUGUCCAGAAGCCAGACCACAGAAUCCCUGUCAGCUCUGCCUCAAGGGCACCUGGGAACUGGUGGACAGUCAGUCUUGUGUGAGCCCCAGACCCUGUGGGCGAUACCCUGCUGUGGGGAAAUGUGGGCUUUGAUGUGCCAGCCCCGGGUUUCAGAGCAGCCCCACACCCCCAGCAGCACUGAGGGUGGGACGGUUCCCUGCUGGACCUGCACUGGACCCCGGAGACCUGAGUGGCCUGGGUGGGCCUGGUUUCUGCAGAAUGACCUCAGUGGCUGCCUUUGAGCACAUCGUGCGUUUCCGGGAGACGUGAGGGGCAAGGAGAAGCCCGCACAGUGGCGUGUCUGGCUCAGGUGCACCAGAGCACGUUCCUGAAGCCCAGUGUUUCCCCACUGCCUGCUCACCCACUGCCCUGGCCUGCCCACCAGGGUUGUGCACAGAGCAGGUUCGCAUUGACCAGGAAGGGGCUGGAAGGGACAGCUAUGUGUACAGGAUGUGGACUGCCUAGGAAGUGGUCCUGGUGUGGGGGCGCCUGCCUGGCUCUGGCAGAGCUGCUUCAGCCAAAGUGGCACAGGCCCCAGCCAACCUCUCCUACAGGCCAGCACCAGGUCCUUGGGCAGCUUUUUGGUCCCAUUUGUUUGUUUUCUGUUCGUUGAAAUGAUCAUGAAGACAUUCAAUGAGAGGAAAGAAAUGUGUUGUGAUAUUAAAUUAGAAACAGUUGGCUAAAAUUGGAUCUCUUACAAAGGGAUAAGAAAUUCAUUGUUUGGCUUCUAAUCAAGGGAGUAGGCAAGACACUAAUGUCCCAAGUUCAGUAGCAGCCAGAACUGGGCCUGAGAUGCAGGGUGAUGUCAACUUUUGUGAUAUUUCUGGUUAUAGGAAGUGAGUUUUUCCCCAGAAUGGCCAAGAACCAAGUUCAAGGGCAGGGCUUCAGGUGGAAGGCUGCCCCCUCUGGUGGCUGGGUUCUUUUGGGGUUACGGCCGCUCUGAUGCCAAGAAACCCCACAGCCUGUCACUUGUGUCAAAGCAAGUCCCUUGCCAGGUGUCUUCCAGUUGGUUGCAGAAUCUUAUUGAUCAUUUCCUGAAAACGUUGUAACUACCCUGGAGGCCAAGGUGGCAUGGAGAAAGGGGGGUGGUCUGGAAGUUUGCUGCACCCAGUUACCUGUGGGAUUCUUAAGAACUAAAUAAGUCAUGACAGUGACGAUGGUCUUCAAGGCAAUAGUAGGGCUUGCCAAGGCCCAGGUAGCCCAGGAGUCAGACGGCAGGCCUGGGCUCCCCCGCGUCUGAUCCCGAAGGCAUUUCCAUCUCAGUGGUUCCCGAGCAGACUCCCUCACAGAGUUCACUGCUCUUGCUCUCAGGCCCUCAUCUUGAUUCAAGACCAAGACCCCCUGGCUUCAUUUCCCUUUCUCCCACUUAGUUGUAUCAUUUGUUUCCCUGGUGAGCAGAGUUGUGGAGUCAGGAGAGGCAUCCCCAUUCGUGUGCUGAGUGGGGGCAAUCCUCUACCUGCUGUGGGGUGAGGGGAGCGCCUCAGUCCCACUCUGGUGCUGCUCAGAGCUGAGGCCACGUGUGGCCAGUGCACUAGAAAGCCUGUUCUGUUUCCUAAAGGGCAGCACUGGCCCCAGGUAGCCUGUAGGAGGCAUGUGCGACUGCCGGGCGUCUGAGACCUGCUGCUGCGGACUCCUGUGUUGCGCUCAGUGAUGUGGGCUUGUCUUCCUGUUGGCUUUAUUCUCUCUUCAAACUGCUUUAGAUUCACCACUCAGUAUGUAAGCCUUUCUAGUUCUCUGUUGUCGGAGGGGCCAGCACCCGCAGGGACCUUUAAGAGAAAGAAGCCAGCGUGCAUGCUGUGGCCAGAGCAGGGGACAUCUCCGUGCUUUUGCUUUCUGGGCUUGACAGCAAGGCUCCUGCUCUAGGAAGGUUCCUGCAUGUUCUAGCCAUGGGCAGUCUGCUCCAGGCGAGCUUGUGCUGGAGGAGUGCCUGCCAGCACAGCUGGCCUCCCUGGCACCUGGCGUGAGGCCUGCACUGAGGGGUGGGCCCCACCUGUUCCCCCCUGGCUUUCAGCACAUCCUGCAAGGGCCGUGAAAAAAGUGACGCCAUUCCUUUCUCAGUGUUCUGAGCUGCGAACCAUGUGACACAGGACUGGCCUGUUUCUGUUAUUUUGGUUGUGAAUCAUCCUGUGGAAUUGGCAAAAGCAACAUUUCCACUGUUCUUAGCACGGCGGGCGGUGUCUGUACUGGAGGUGUGUGGGCAGUGGGUAUAUCUCUGUGCGUGUACAUAUGUGUAUAUGUAGAUACCACGCAGCAGGCACAACUGCUGCAACCAGUACAAUAAAAGUUGGCUCCAAAAUGGCCUGUGGCCUCUGGUUUCUUGGUGAGUUGGGGCAGGGACAGGUCUCAGCAGGCCCUCUUGCCAGGCACACACGGCCAGGUCCACCCUGCCGUGUCCCUAGAAUUUGUAUGGAUGGCUGGGCAUGGCGCUGAGCUCACUGCAGUGGCCUGUCCCCACCACGUCAGCCUCUGCAGGGUAGGGUACCAGGGUAGGGUGGAGACUGAUGUGGAACCUGUCCCUGGGCCCUCUCGGGUUGCUCGCCUGACCCAGAGGGGAGUGCCCCAAGGUGGCUGGAAACCCUUUCCUCCCUUGGAACACUGAAAGUUUUUCUAAGCAUCAGGUAACAAUCAUGAAGUAACAAAGCUGCAAACUAAAGGGGUCUCUGUGUUGCCCUGGGAGGGGUCCAUGAAGGGGUGCAGGGCAACAGGGACUGCACAGUGCCAUCCUCCAUGAAGGGUUCAGCCCAGGGUCUUACAGGCAGCACCUUUUGAUAGACUUUCUGUCCCUGGAAAAUGGGGUAAUGUUUCAAGCUAAGGAGGGGCAGCAGUUUACUGAAAUGUAUACACAUUGUUUUUACAAACUGAUUUAAAAAGCAUGGACAGCAAGUGUCUAUGCACCAGUUUUGUCCUGUAUUGGAAUCCGCGAGUUAGCAUGCCUCUGGCUCUGACUCCCACACGCACACCUCAGGGCCAGGCUGGAGGUUAAGGUGGCUUACCAUGGGUGUCUCGUCUCAUGUCCAAAUAUUGGCCUAAAAUAAAGAAAACUGUUGCAAAAUAAAUGUUUUCACUGCAAA